AAAUGCAAAGGAUAUAUACUUGCAUUCUUGGGGGUCGUAUAUAUAUUAUUUUUUGGAAUUCUUAGAAAGAAAUGCUGUGUGUCUUUUGAAAUAACUGUGUGAAUUCAGGAAUGCCUGUAAUUGUAGAUAUUUUAAUGUUUAUCUUUUGUAGACCUCUUCCCUUUGUGUUUAUCCCUUUAAUCGCAAUCCGUAAAUGGAAUAACAUGUGGAAGCAAAUCAUUAAUUAUCAUUGUGUAGUCUCUUUCUUAGGAAGAACACACCCGUUUCUAUUUUCUGAGAGAAACUUACUGAACACUUUAUAAAUGUUUACACGUGUACAUAAAUAUAUUUCACUUUUUCAAAGGAGUCUGGUCAGAUAUCUGAGUAGUCUAAUUUCGAAAGUUCAUUCAGUACUCGUGCAUGUAUUUGUCCAUUAUGUUUAGAAAUAAAAUAUUUUCUUUUCUUAAAUUUUUUUCACAAAUUGGCCUUCAAGUAGGCGACAUAUUAUAAAAUUUGGACAGGAUAUUAUAUAUUAGCUUAACGGCGGUAUUGGAACGUGUUUGCUAAUCAAAAUGACUGCAGUAACAAUGGUUUAUUUCACAUUGUUAAACACUAAAAGUUUUGCAUGAUAUUUUAAACUUAAAUAACUAAUGAUUAUGAAAUUGAAUUUCAGAACGUGUUGUAUGAAUCAGCGUUAUAUUAAAAAGAUUUAUCACUGUGUAUUAUUAUAAUUUUUUGGUUGAUAUAAUGGAAGUUUUAGUGUCAGCUACUGUAAAAUAGUAAUACGUGAAAUUAUCAGCUAUUGUUCAAUACGUGAAUUUUUAAUUUUUUUUUUUUUUUUUGCAUGUACAGAUGUAUAUACGAUAUAAUUAUGUAUAAUAAAAAUCACUUUCGUUUUAAUGUG
rnacentral:sRNA from 1 species